UUUACUAGUCGGACGUGUUUUUGCUUCGCUGCGGUUUUUUUUUCAUUUUUGUAUAACGCCACCAUUGUUUGGUGAGCGUUGCUGAGAUGGAGAAAAUGAAGACAUAUGCAGCAGCGACGGGGAGUCGGGUUUCCGUCGUCCAGGGCCUGCUGAAGCAAUACGAAAUGCGCUGGAAUGAAGACAUGGCUAAGAAAUUUGGAAAAUAU